rnacentral:rRNA from 1 species
GCUCAAAUUUGAAAUCUUAAAGGGUUUCCCUUUACGAAUUGUAGUUUAAAGAAGUGUUUUCUGUUGAGGUUUUGGUAAAAGUUCUUUGGAAUAGGACAUCAUAGAGGGUGAGAAUCCCGUAUUUGACCUUUACUUUCAACUUUGUGAUACACUUUCAAAGAGUCGGAUUGUUUGGGAAUGCAGUCCAAAAUGGGUGGUAAAUUUCAUCUAAAGCUAAAUAUUGGCGAGAGACCGAUAGCGAACAAGUACCGUGAGGGAAAGAUGAAAAGAACUUUGAAAAGAGAGUUAAACAGUACGUGAAAUUGUCAAAAGGGAAGCGUUAGACACCAGUGUUGUUUUUCUGAAAAUCAAUUAAAGAACUGUUUAUGCUAAGCUGUUUAGACUUUAUCAGCUAUCUGUUUAGUUUUGAGCUUUUCUUUAAUGCACUUUUCAGUUAACAAG